GUGGGGAAUAUUGGUCAAUGGCCGAGAGGCUGAACCAGCCAUGCCGCGUGCGGGAGGACGGCCCUAUGGGUUGUAAACCGCUUUUUUGUGGGAGCAAUAAGUUGCACGUGUGCAAUGAUGAGAGUACCAUGAGAAUAAGCAUCGGCUAACUCCGUGCCAGCAGCCGCGGUAAUACGGAGGAUGCGAGCGUUAUCCGGAUUUAUUGGGUUUAAAGGGUGCGUAGGCGGAUUUUUAAGCGUGAGGUGAAAUGCCCGGGCUCAACCUGGGAACUGCCUCGCGAACUGGGAGUCUUGAAUGCCCCUGCCGUGGGAGGAAUGUGUGGUGUAGCGGUGAAAUGCAUAGAGAUCACACAGAACACCGAUUGCGAAGGCAUCUCACGAAGGGGUGAUUGACGCUGAGGCACGAAAGCGUGGGGAUCAAACAGG
rnacentral:rRNA from 1 species